GUGCCAGCCGCCGCGGUAAUACGAGGGGGGCAAAUGUUGUUCGGAAUCACUGGGCGUAAAGGGAGCGUAGGCGGGCUCUUAAGUUAGGUGUUUAAUCCCGGGGCCCAACCCCGGACAGGCACCUAAAACUGGGAGUCUUGAAUAGUGGAGAGGACGGCGGAAUUGGGGGUGUAGCGGUGGAAUGCGUAGAGAUCCCCAAGAACACCAGUUGCGAAGGCGGCCGUCUGGACACAUAUUGACGCUGAGGCUCGAAAGCAUGGGGAGCAAACAGGAUUAGAAACCCGCGUAGUCC
rnacentral:rRNA from 1 species